GACGAACGCUGGCGGCGUGCCUAAUACAUGCAAGUCGAACGCAGUGGGGACGGGUGAGUAACACGGGGGUAACCUCCCAUCAGAGGGGAUAAAACUUGGAAACAGGUGCUAAAACGAUACCUAUGGAUGGACUCGCGGUGAAUUAGCUUGUUGGUGAGGUAACGGCGCACCAAGGCCACGAUGCAUAGCCGACCUGAGAGGGUGAUCGGCCUAACUGGGACUGAGACACGGCCCAAACUCCUACGGGAGGCAGCAGUAGGGAAUCUUCGGCAAUGGGCGAAAGUCUGCCCGAGCAACGCCGCGUGAGUGAAGAAGGUUUUCGGAUCGUAAAGCUCUGUUGUUAGAGAAGCGGUAUCUAACCAGAAAGCCACGGCUAACUACGUGCCAGCAGCCGCGGUAAUAC
rnacentral:rRNA from 1 species